GAUGAUCUUGGAGAAAGAAAACAGGCAAGGGAUGGUGAUGAUUCUAAAGAAGGGAACCGCAGAAAGGAUGAGGAUGACCAUGGAGAGAGGAAGAACUUGAGCGAUGUAGUUGACCUUGUUGAGAGAAAGCGUGGAAGGGAUGAGGAUGAACAUGGAGAGAGAAAGUUCAGAAGGGAUGAGGAUGAACAUGGAGAGAGAAAGUUCAGAAGGGAUGAGGAUGAACAUGGAGAGAGAAAGUUCAGAAGGGAUGAGGAUGAACAUGGAGAGAGAAAGUUCAGAAGGGAGGAGGAUGAACAUGGAGAAAGAAAGUUCAGAAGGGACGAGGAUGAACAUGGAGAAAGAAAGUUCAGAAGGGAUGAGGAUGAUCAUGCAAGAAGAAAGUUCAGAAGGGAUGAUGAUGAUUAUGGAGAAAGGAAGCACUCAAGAGAUGAGGGUGGUGUUCAUAUGGAAGCAAAACACAGUAGGAUUGAGGAUAGUCGUGGAGAACGAAAGAACAUAAGGGAGGAUGAUGAUAGAGAGAGAAAGCACUCAAAGGAUGAAGGUGGUCGUGGAGAAAGAAAGCACAAAAGGGACGAUGAUGAUGAUGGUCAUGAAGAAAGAAAACAGCACCGAAGGGAU
rnacentral:lncRNA from 1 species